GUUCGAUCAUGGCUCAGAUUGAACGCUGGCGGGAUCUUCUUGUGCCAAGUCGAACUGGCGCUUUGGACUUCAGUCUGGUGGCGAGUGGCGAACGGGUGAGUAAUGUAUCGGAACGUGCCUAGUAGCGGGGGAUAACUACGCCGAAAGCGUAGCUAAUACCAUCGCCCUUCGGGGAAAGCGAGGGGACCUUCGGACUCACGCAUUGACGGCCGAUAUCAGGGUUAGCUAGUUGGUGGGUAACAGCUCGCCAGGCGACGAUCCGUAGCUGGAUUUGAGAGGACGACCAGCCACACUGGGACUGAGACCUGACCAGACUCCUACAGGAGGCAGCAGUGGGAAUUUUGGACAAUGGAAACCCUGAUCCAGCCAUCCCGCGUGUGCGAUGAAGGCCUUCGGGUUGUAAAGCACUUGGCGGAAAGAAACGGCCGCAGGAUAAUACGAUACGCUGACAGUACCUGCAGAAUAAGCACCGGCUAACUACAUUACUGUAGCCCAUGAUGACCGCCAGGUUGGUCAAUCAGAUUACUGAAUAUAAAGCGUGCGCAGAGCCGGUUUGGAAAGAAGAUGUGAAAUCCCAGAGCUUAACUUUGGAACUGCAUUUUAACUACCGAGCUAGAGUGUGUCAGAGGGAGGUGGAAUUCCCGCGUGUAGCAGUGAAAUGCGUAGAUAUGCGGAGGAACACCGAUGGCGAAGGCAGCCUCCUGGGAUAACACUGACGCUCAUGCACGAAAGCGUGGGGAGCAAACAGGAUUAGAUACCCUGGUAGUCCACGCCUAAACGAUAGCUGUUGGGGCCUUCGGGCCUUGGUAGCGCAGCUAACGCGUGAAGUUAGCCGCCUUGAGUACGGUCGCAAGAUUAAAACUCGAGAAUUGACAAGGACCCGCACAAGCGGUGGAUUGGUAUGGAUUAAUUCGAUGCAACGCGAAAAACCUUACCUACCCAGCAAGCAUAUGGAAUCCCGAAAGAGAUUUGGAGUAUCGCAAGAGAACCCGGAACACAGACUUUGUGGCUGUCGUCCAGCUCGUGUCGUGAGAUGUUGGGUUAAGUCCGCAACGAGCGCAACCCUUGUCGAUAGUUGCUACGAAAGGGCACUCUAAUGAGACUGCCGGUGACAAACCGGAGGAAGGUGAGGAUGACGUCAGAGUCCUCUAUGGCCCCCUUAUGGGUAGGGCUUCACACGUCAUACAAUGGUCGGGACAGAGGGUCGCCAACCGCGAGGGGGCCAAUCCCAGAAACCCGAUCGUAGUCCGGAUCGCGGUCUGGCUCGACGUGAAGUCGGAAUCGCUAGUAAUCGCGGAUCAGCAUGUCGCGGUGAAUACGUUCCCGGGUCUUGCCUACCGCCCGUCACACCGGCACAGGUGUUUUGCAGAAGUAGUUAGCCUAACCGUAAGGAGGGCGAUUACCACGGUAGGAUUCAUGACUGGGGGUGGAAAUCAAUAAGGGUAG
rnacentral:rRNA from 1 species